GGGCCUUCCCCACGUACGAUUUCUCCCGUGCAACUGAACUUGUUUACAUGAGAUGAGACUAGCCAAAGCAAAAGAAAGUACCCGCAGAGCUUUUGAAAAGCCAUGGAUAAAAGCCCUGAUGGAAGAGUUUGUUGUGAGCUUGUGUCUCCUGGAUUUGAGUCUCAGCUUGACUACUAACAUUCCGUGUUGCGUAAAGUGAGGAUGUGGCCUGCUCCAAGCUUUUCAAAAACACCAAGGCAGAGUUUUCGCCCUCUUCCUCCUGCCUACACAAGAUGCUGAUCAGCAAAGCCUCAUUUCCUGCUCAUAACAAAGCCUGUACCUGAGCAAAAAUGAAUCUCCCCAAACCACAUUUAAAACACCCAGCUCUCUGCACUUCGUUUUACAAACAAGUAAACCCACCCAGUAGGGAAAGCUGCUUCUAGCAGUGCAGGCUCACAAACCCCAGGCGUUCCCCUUAGUAACUGUGCUAAUUAUAACUCCCGCUACCUGGUAACAACCCUGGCUUCCCAGGUAUUGGCUGAAGCCGUCUCAGCCUUGCUAGUACUGCCUACCCUAAGCAGCCAUCAGGGGAGAGAGAGUGAGAGAGAGAAAACGACCAGCCUCACAGACCUCCAGGGUCAGUCCAGGUCCAGCUCUGCAUGUUAAACAGUCAUGGGGGCUCAGAAACAGUGGCUUGACCUAGCUAGGAAUCUUAGUCCUAUCCGGUCUCUCCUCCCAGUCGGUCACGAACUCCUCUAGGUAUUUUAUCUCCCUUUUCUCUGCCCACUGCCCUACCCUCAGUCCAUCAGUUUUGUUUGCUCAGUCUGUCCUACUCCCCUACCCACCAGAGGGAUGGAGCAUGUUCCCUGAAGUUUACAGCUCUUCACUGGUGUCAGCAUUUAGGCAGCCUGAUCCUGGCUUAACCUAUGAUGUCAUCAUUGGUUACCACCUACAGGGGCCUGGGAUAAAAGGACUCCUGCCUCUUACCUCUGUGCUCUGCUCUUGCUCUUCCUCUCUCUUGCUCUCUCCCUCUCUCCUACUCUCUCCCCUUUCUCAGUGGCACUCCACUUCCCCCCACGUCUCUCUCUCCUUCCCUCUCUCUCUCCAUCUUCAUCCAAUAAACCUCUUUCAUAUAGUAUCUGUUGUGCAUAUCAUUUUUAACAACUGGCUCCUACAAAAAGGCACAAUUAAGACUGUCCUACAUACACACCAGUCUCUUCCUAUGCCUAGUACUUAAAUCCAGCAACACAAAACAACUUCUGAUCCUAUCCACGCAUCCAGCAAUUCAUUUGCCUCUAUGCUUCCGCUUGUGACAAACCCUCUUCCUUGUACCCCGCCAUCGACCGACUAACAACGCUUCUGAAGUUCAGGGCUCAUCUCUUCACAGAAUUCCUUUCUAGAUCUCCUUUCUAUCUCUUCUAUUCUCUGGGGGGAAUUCCGUUAUACUCUGUCCAUUUCUCUGUUACCGCUUCCUGCCUCCCACCUCAUUCUACCUCUGAUGUCUCACUCAUCUUCCAAGGCCCAGUUCCCAGCUUAGUACUGGGAUUAUAAUAGAACCUUUAUAAAGACUUAUUGAAGAGGAGAUAGACAGACCCAGAGGUCCUCAGGAUUGGUCCCCUGCUGGCCUUUCCAGGGUCACCUUCACAUCACCACAAGCCCUCCCUGCUUCACAGAACGAAUGGAAGCGUGCCAAGCACACAGCGUUCUUUCAGGCCUCUGCCUUUGUCCAUUGCCUCUUUGGUCCAGGAUGCCUUUAUCCAUUCCUUCACAUGAUGGUUGUGAGCCACCACGCAAACCCUGAGAAUAAAACCAGGGUCUUCUGCUCUUAAGCAUUGAGCCAUUUCUCUAGUCCCAACAUUUUAAUCCUCAAUCUACCUUUUCCUAACUGCAGAACCGUGGCCAACCCCUGUGAGCCUGAGUUUCCUAACUUACCUUGUUCUCUUCCCCACAUGUAACCAUGCUGCAGUGGACUAGGUGUUAAGUAAAAUGUUAUUACUGUCUUGUGAACCUGUAGAUACGUGCUAGGGUUUACCUACUUUACUGACUGAGCAAUCUCCCCAGGCACUCUUAUUUUUUUUUAAUUACUUGUUUAAUUAUUUUUAACUUUUGGAAAAUGUUUUAGUUACAAACAUUUUAAGACAUUUAUAUGUCAAUAAAUAUGUACAAUUAAAAAUUUAAUAAGAAAAAUAUGUGAUAGGAAAGAGACAAAAGGUUAUAGUGGCUAAACUAUUUAUUUAUGUAUUUAUUUGUUGGGGUGUGUGUGUGUGUGUACUAGCAUGUGGAGGCCAGAGGUUGACAGUGACUUCGUCAAUCUUUCUUGAGACAAGGUUUACUCCUGAAUGUGGAGCUCAUCACCUGGUCUAGACUGGCUGUCCAGCAAGCCCCAAGGAUCCUCCUGUCUCUGCUUUCUCCACAUUGGAAUUAGAGAUGUGUACCCACAGUCAAACUAUUUAUAAACAAUUCCCUGAAAACCCGGUGUGUGCAUUUUCCGUGUGUGUUCU